UCCAGGAGCUACAAGCCUUCUUUAUCCAGAUUAAAAGCUGUCUGAUCUAUGGUCUGUGGGUCACAGAGCAUCAUACUUAACUACCAGGUUACACAAUGUAGGAGUCCUGAUGUCUGUGAACACCUUCAGGGAUCUGUCAUACUCCUGUCUACCCCUUGGCUGCCUGCCCUCUAAGAGCCAUGGUGUGUCUGCAUUGCAUAGAGACCCACUAGAGGCCUAGAGGCAGAGAAUAAAAGACUGCAGAAUGUUCAUCUCCAAAGACAACACAGAUACCACACCACCCUUUCCAAGGCUCAGAGAUCCUUUGAGAAGAGAGUUGGAAAGGGUAUAAAAGAAACAGGAUUAAAGACAGGACAUAUUUUAAAAGAAAUAAAGGGAUUCAAACUCAGUGAUCCGAUCUUACUGCCUUGUAUAAUUGUUCUAAAAAAACAUUCAAAUAUGUCAGCAGCUGCCAGUACCAUUGUAAAGUUGGCUGGACACUAAAAGAGGGCAUGAACUCCCAGCUAAAAGGAAGAGCAUACAG